AUGUAUGCUGAGGCAAAUCUUCACAUGCAGCUCAGACACCCAAUGCCGCUACUUAGGAAUUCAGUUCCAAAGCAAUUUGAAGCAUCCCAGCAAAUUGGAGGUAAUUAUGAACUUGAUAGCAAUGUCCUUACAUUGUUAAAGGCGAAAGUUGAAGGUCAAAAGCAUAUAAAAAAUGACUUAGACCUGCCCAUGGAUAGUAUGAAAUGCACAGACGGAACCCGGUCUUGUUGUCACAAGAUAUUUAUGUACAUUUCACUAAAAGAAAGAUAUUUAUGUACGUUUGGGAGCAUACAUAUAUGA
rnacentral:rRNA from 1 species